GCGUGACCUUGCCCCCGUCCGAGAAAAGAAGGAUAUGGGAGACAUGGGACUCGAAAGGGUACUUUAGUACUAGUUCGUCAUUCUGGAGAGUAAAAUCCUAAGAAAAAUCUGAAGUUUCAGAAGGAAGAGAAGAAAUCUUUCAAUGGCGACUGAAGUAAUCAUAAUAGACAGAGAUCGUAUUCAAAAAGCAUUCGACGAAUUCGAAACUCAGAAAUCCCUCUUAACAAAUUGUACACAACAAUGGGAAAACCUAUCAUCUCAUUUCACAUCAUUAGAACAAGCCCUCCUACAGAAAACCCAUACCCUAGACACAAAACUAGAAACCCUAGAUUUAGAAACCAAAAAAGCAUUAGCAAAACUAUCAGAAAGAGAGAAUUCAAUCUCAGAGCGUGAAUCCAUUGCCAUUACACUUAUCGAAGAACAAAAACAAAAAGCAUUCAAAGAGAUAUAUGAAGGGAUUGUUGAUUCUAGUAGUAAUGGGACUGAAAUAGAAGAAGCAUUGAAAUCUUAUUGUAGAAAGAUGGAUAGUAAGGGUUUGAUGAAGUAUAUGAUUAGUAAGAGGAAUGACUCACUGACAAUGAGGGUUAAGAUUGGUGUUGCGAUUCGUGAAUGUGUUGAUCCUUUUCGGUUUGUAUUGGAUGGUAUUGAGGAUUAUUUGGAUGCCAAAGGGAAAGCUGGGGCUUCUGAUAAGAGAUGGCCUUGUGGAAGUUUGAUUCAUGGGCUGUUUCCUGAUUUGGAUGGGAACAGUAGUCUGACUGUUAUUGCAACCAGUGUGAAGGAAAGAUCGGGUGUUAUCGCGCAAGUUUGGACGGGGAAAAUGGAUAAUAUAGGAGGAGGAGGAGAUGAUAUUGGACCAGCUGAAGCUGCAAUGUUUUUGCAAAUGGUGAUUGGGUUUGGAUUGAAAGACAAGUUUGAGGAGGAGUUUUUAAAGAAAUUGAUUUAGCAUAUCCUUCGAGAAGAGAAAUGCCUAAGCUUGCUGCAGCGUUACGGUUCGGCGAGAAAAUGGGAGAUGUAAUCGAUGAACUGGUAAAGAAUGGCAAGGAGAUUGAGGCUGUGAAUUUUGCAUGUGAAUGUGGUCUGACUGAACGAUUUCCUCCAGUUCCUUCUCUCAGAGCUUAUCUCAGGAACUCAAGGAAAAGUGUGAAUACAAUGUUGAAGAAUGGUAACUAUAAUGCAGCUCAAUCGGAAGCUGCUAAUGCAUUAGAGUUGAGUUCCCUCAAAGCCAUCAUCAGAUGCGUGCAGGAGAACAAACUUGGAGCUGAAUUUACUCUUGACAGCCUAACAAAGCGAGUUUCUCAGUUGGAGAAAGCCAGGGUUGAUAGGAAGAAAAGUGUCCCUGUGGGAAACAAACCCCAAAUUAAGCGAUCUCGAGGAGGUCCUGGGGGUAGCGGUGGUGGUGGCAACAGUGCACCACACUUCAGACCCGCCAAAGCAGGAAGAGGUUCAAAUAGUUAUCCCUCCUACAACCGCAGGAAUCAAGUACCACCUGUUCCACAUCCUGCUGCUGGUUUUUACAGUUACCCUAAUCAGCCUAUUUACGACCCUUCACCAUCUUACGGGGGAUCAUAUGCUGGAGGACAUUCGAGAAGCCCCGCUGCAGUACCUCAAACUUAUGCAUACCAACCAGAAGAUAUGGCUGGCGCCGGUGUAGCGCGAUCAAGUGUAGCGCCAUAUACACCCCAGCCUCCUGUGUAGUUCAUCUUUGCGCGAUCAAGUGUAGCCCCAUAUAAUGGGGCAGCAGGAGCUACUUAUCAACCUUCAUAUCCUCAGUAGAGCCGUGUAUUGGUAAGAGUAUAGUUCUGGUGUUCAGUUACAAAAUACCCCCUUUUGUAUCAGGAAAAGCUGUAAGAAGACGUAUUAAGAGUCUUUACUCUAAAGUUGUAAACGGUAGGACAACAAGUCGCACCCUCUAUCCAGCACUUCUUCAUAAUAGGAGAGCUUCAUCCUGAGUUUAACAAAACUUUUCUUUUUCUUAUUCCUAAAAAAAGACAUCCCAAAGAUCCCAGCCAAUUCAGACCAAUAGGACUCUGUAAUACUAUUUAUAAAAUUCUAGCCAAUAGGAUCAAACCUCUUUUGAGCUCUA